UGGCUCUCGCAUCGAUGAAGAACGCAGCGAAAUGCGAUAAGUAAUGUGAAUUGCAGAAUUCAGUGAAUCAUCGAAUCUUUGAACGCACCUUGCGCCUUUUGGUAUUCCGAAAGGCACACCUGUUUGAGUGUCACGACCUAUCAACCUCUAGGUUUCUUCAUUGAGCUCUAGGUGGUUGGAUCUUGAGUGCUGCUGUGACCAUAUUACAGCUCACUUUAAACUCAUUAGCCAAUUCUUCCCCAUCCGGAUUGACUCAACGUGAUAAUAUUUUCGUUGAGGACGCUUGCGCGGCCGAGUGUUGAAUAAUGGCUUAUAAUCUGCAUUUUCUGCACCAUAUCUUUAGACCUCAAAUCAGGUGGGACUACCCGCUGA
rnacentral:misc_RNA from 1 species